AGUUAAGUGACUAAGCGCACAAGGUGGAUGCCUUGGCAAUCAGAGGCGAAGAAGGACGUGCUAAUCUGCGAAAAGCUUGGAUGAGUCGAUAAGAGGCGUUUAAUCCAAGAUGUCCGAAUGGGGAAACCCAGUAGGUGAAGAACCUACUAUCACCCAGUGAAUACAUAGCUGUGUGAGGCAAACCGGGAGAACUGAAACAUCUAAGUACCCCGAGGAAAAGAAAUCAACCGAGAUUUCGUUAGUAGCGGCGAGCGAACGCGAAAGAGCCAGUUAGUGAUAGCAGUAAAGUUAGGGGAAUGUUCUGGGAAGGACAAUCGUAGAGGGUGAUAAUCCCGUACCUUAAAACUCCAUUGUGGUACUAGGCUAACAACAAGUAGGGCGGGACACGUGAUAUCCUGUUUGAAGAUGGGGGGACCAUCCUCCAAGGCUAAAUACUCCUGAUUGACCGAUAGUGAACCAGUACUGUGAAGGAAAGGCGAAAAGAACCCCGGCGAGGGGAGUGAAAUAGAACCUGAAACCUUGUGCGUACAAGCAGUGGGAGCAAGAGUAAUCUUGUGACUGCGUACCUUUUGUAUAAUGGGUCAGCGACUUAUAUUUUGUAGCAAGGUUAACUGAAUAAGGGAGCCGUAGGGAAACCGAGUCUUAACUGGGCGUGUAGUUGCAAGGUAUAGACCCGAAACCCGGUGAUCUAGCCAUGGGCAGGUUGAAGGUUGGGUAACACUAACUGGAGGACCGAACCGACUAAUGUUGAAAAAUUAGCGGAUGACUUGUGGCUGGGGGUGAAAGGCCAAUCAAACCGGGAGAUAGCUGGUUCUCCCCGAAAUCUAUUUAGGUAGAGCCUUGAGCGGACACCUUCGGGGGUAGAGCACUGUUUCGGCUAGGGGUCCAUCCCGGAUUACCAACCCGAUGCAAACUGCGAAUACCGAAGAGUGAUACUCAGGAGACACACGGUGGGUGCUAA
rnacentral:rRNA from 1 species